GUGGUUCCCAACUAUAAGCACCAUAUUAGAAUUACCUCUGAAGCUUCUAAACUUCCUGUAAUCCAGGCCACACCCCAAAACAAUUAAAUCAGAAUCUUGGUUGUGAUAUCUAGCAUGAGUUAAAAUUUAAGUUUCCCAGUUCUUCCAGUGUGCAGCUAGAUUGUUUUCCUUACUUCAGAUGUUUGAAAGUAUUCACUAAACUUACAAGGGUAUACUCACAUGGGGCUUUUAUUUAAAGGAAAAACUGAUGCAGGAAAAUGCCUAACAGUGCAGGCAGGCAUUAGAGGUCGGAAAGACAUUCCAGAAUUUGACCUACCCUGGAUGAUUUCUUUCUCAUACACAGGACCAUGCUGCAUACAGAUUUAUUUACAUUUCUAACUUUAAUCUUUUUUUAUUGAAAAUCAUGACUACUAAACAUCAUAAGGUUGUUUUCUAUAUAAGUCAGUUGAUUUCAAAGUGCAAUAUUUAGUACACAAGCAUACAUUGCUUGUAUAGCAUAUCUGAUUUAACUGGAAAUAAAAUCUGUAGCGUUUGUGAUACAUAUCUCAUGUUUUGACUUAUAUAAUUGUAUUUAAUUUUAGUUUGUAUAAUUGCCUUCCUCAGAAAUGCCUUUAUUACUAGUUGAAAGUUUAAAAUACAAUCUGAUUAAAUUAUUACUUUUUAGCUUCAGUUUCAAGAGAUUGAGCAGAGUUUCUCGAUACUAAUUACUCUUAAAAUCAACGAUUUGGUGAAGCAGUGCUCCUCCUAGCCAAGAAUCAUGCAUCAGAACCCUUCUUUCUUCUACAUCCUCUGGGACUUCAUUCUAUCAAUUUGCUCUUCUUUUUUUUUGUCUUCAACCUCCAUCUUUUUGUGAUGAUAAUUAAGUACUCACAUGUACACACAUUCAAAAACACAGAAAUAAGGUGCUUUUGUUUUGUGGAGACACUUUUUCCUUUUCCAAUUCUAACAGGUAUGCAUGUUUGAACUGCUUUAUUUCAAAAGAAUAAAACAAGAUUUUCAAAUAUAAUUAAGCAUAUUAAAAAAGCGUAAAAUAAUACUUUUAAUAAAAUUCAUAUCAUAUUUAGGUACAAUAAACAGUAUUUGCCAAAUAUGUUAAUGUAUUUUUCAUCUCAUUUUUCUAUUUUAUGUCUGUAAUUUAACUAUUGUUAGUACUCUAGCACAUAUAUGCAUUUUAUAUAUUUUUUAUUAAUAGUGGUGCACAAUUGAAAUUUUGGUAACUAUUGAAUUAAAGAAAAUUGGUUUCAUAUAAUAUCUUCCUGCAAUAUUUGAAUACAUAUAAAAAUCCUUACCAAAAGCUAAGACAUAAAUCUAUGUACCUCUAUUUUUAAUCCAAAGUCAUUUUAUAAGUUGAGAAAGUAAUUGAAAAUGUAUUUUUCCUGUAAAGAAAUGCACUAAGCAUUUUUUUCAUAUAAAAUUUAAUGAGUCAAUUGCUAAGCAAAUAUUACCAUUGGGGGUGAAGGACAUAUGAGUUCUAUCUGUAUUAUUUCUUAUAACUGCUUAUGUAUCUACAAUAUCUCAAAAUAAAAAGUUAAAAUUAAUGAGUCAAAAGUUAUCAGGGUUGAAUUUUUGAUUCCUACAGGUUGCAUGAAUAAUAUUAUCAGAUAAUAUACACAAGAUCAGAGUUGCAAGAUAAUAUUAACUUUAUCUAAAUGUUCAUGAAUAGUUUCAGAUAUAUCUUUUGAAACUGACUAUUUUAAUGUACAUGUAUUGUAAUACAAAGGUAGAUUAAAAGUUAUUCUAAAAAUUGAGUGUACAGAGUAGAAUGUUCAAAAUCUCUCUCACCAAGCAUUAUUCAUAAUUCCAGUCCUUUUCUCAGAAAAAGCCACUGUUACUCAUUAUAUUUGUUUUAUUCAGUACGAGUGUUUUCAACAUAUUUUUUGGUCACUACAAUAAAGAUUAAUAUGCUUAACAGCUAUAUCACAUUUAACAUCUGCUUGAAUUGGAUGUGCCAUAAAUCACUUAACCAUUUUUCUAUUAAUAAAAUUACAUUAAUAUCCAAUAGUUUAUUAUUACAGUAAAAGAUGCAAUUAAACAUUUCUACAUAUCUUUUUGUCUAAAUGUAAAUAUAUUUCCAUAGGAAAUCAAACUGUUGAAUUUUGAAUAUUUACAUUUAAGUUCUGAGGGCUCUCAAAUUGUCCUCCACAACAUAUUAAUAGAACUUUAUGAAAGUAUAAUUUUCCCCACAUACUGUUAAAUGUAAUAUUAACAAAUGAAGAGUGAUAACAUGGUGGGCAAACUAUUAGAUAUUUUGGUUAUUUUAAUUUCAUUUUACUGAUUACUAAAGGUAUUUGGCAUUGUUCAUAUGCUCAUAGGCCAUUUGAGUUACUUCUUCUGUGAAUUGCUUGUGCAAUUCCUCUACUUAAUAAUCUAUUGUCUUGCUUGUGGUAGUUCUUUUUUCUGUGUACAUUAAUCAUUUUAUAAUGAUAUGUUUCAAACAUUUCUCUUAGUUUUUUCCUGUACAUUGUUAAAAUAUUUAGAGAUGACCUG
rnacentral:lncRNA from 10 species